rnacentral:rRNA from 1 species
AAUAUUGCGCAAUCGAUGGAACUCUGACGCAGCGACGCCGCGUGAGCGAUGAAGGUCUUCGGAUCGUAAAGCUCUGUCCUUUGGGAAGAAGAUCUUCGGAUUUGACGGUACCCAAGUAGGAAGCCCCGGCUAACUACGUGCCACCAGCCGCGCUAAUACGUAGGGGGCAAGCGUUGUCCGGAAUUAUUGGGUGUAAAGGGCGCGUAGUCGGCAUUUUAAGUCAGAUGUGAAAGACCACGGCUUAACCGUGGGGUUGCAUUUGAAACUGGAGGGCUUGAGUAUCGGAGGGUGUAGUGGAAUUCCCAGUGUAGCGGUGGAAUGCGUAGAUAUUGGGAAGAACACCAGUGGCGAAGGCGACUACCUGGACGAAAACUGACGCUGAUGCACGAAAGCUAGGGGAGCAAACA